UCACCGACUGGCGUGCGGCGCUGCGCGGGGCCGCCCGGGACGCGGCGGCGGACGUGGGCGGCAGCGGGUUGAUCCUGCUCGCCGUGGCGAC
rnacentral:tRNA from 1 species